ACCGGGUGCGGUGGCAUGUGCUGUAAUCCAAGUCACUGGGAGGCUGAGGUUGGUGGAUCAAGUGAGCUGAGGAGCUCUGGGCUGCAGCACGCUAUGUCGAACGGGUGUCCACGCUAAGUUCGGUAUCGAUAUGGUGUUCCUGGGGGAACCCGGGACCACCAGGUUGUCUAAGGAGGGGUGAACCGGCCCAGGUCGGAAACGAAGCAGGUCAAAUCCCCCGUGCUGUCCAGUAGUGGGAUAAUACCUGUGAGUAGAUGCUGCAGUGCAGCCUUGGCAAAACAUUCGAGACCUAAUCUUUU
rnacentral:SRP_RNA from 1 species